rnacentral:rRNA from 1 species
GUGGGGGAUAUUGCACAAUGGGGGAAACCCUGAUGCAGCGACGCCGCGUGAAGGAAGACGUACUUCGGUAUGUAAACUUCUAUCAGCAGGGAAGAAGAUGACGGUACCUGACUAAGAAGCCCCGGCUAACUACGUGCCAGCAGCCGCGGUAAUACGUAGGGGGCAAGUGUUAUCCGGAUUUACUGGGUGUAAAGGGAGCGUAGACGGUGAAGCAAGUCUGAUGUGAAAACCCGGGGCUCAACUCCGGGAUUGCAUUGGAAACUGUUUUACUUGAGUGCUGGAGGGGCAAGCGGAAUUCCUGGUGUAGCGGUGAAAUGCGUAGAUAUCAGGAAGAACACCGGUGGCGAAGGCGGCUUGCUGGACAGUAACUGACGUUGAGGCUCGAAAGCGUGGGGAGCAAACAGGAUUAGAAACCCCUGUAGUCC